UUGAAUGAAACUUCUCAUGGCUCUCGUGAGAUGAUGUCAAAUUGGUCUGCAUAAGCAGUUAGCAGUGGAAACAUGUUUCCGGUUAGCAAUGAAGUUCGUGGGCGUCAACAGCCAGAAGACUUUAUUUCAAGAUAGCCUUGGCCUAUCUGUACUCCAAACACCCGUUGCAUUAGAAUUGCCGCUGAUACACCUAUUCUAAUUGGGCAGUUCAACUUAUCUCUUGCUUGCUCAUGCCCUAUUGUAAGAUUGUUUGAAGCUGGUAAUAUCAAGGAUGGAUUGGUUCAUUACAUCUUUCCUCUCGUUGUGCCAUGUGCAGAAAAAGAAUCGAGGUGCGGAUAUACAUUUUUUAGAUGCAGGUGGCACUAAGAAUAUAGACGUUGGGUUACAAUUCGUUGCUCUAAAUUAACGUUGCACAAAUUAAUGUAUCUGUCGCUCAAAUUAAUGAAUCUGUU